UAGCGGUCUAGAUAUUUAACCAGAGAUAAAUGAUAGAAACAUGGAAAACAUAGAAUACGCAUACACUCUCAGCAAUACUUCAAUGUCAUCACAAAGCAAAUCUAUUAAAAGAAAAUAAAAUGCAAAGGCCGAUUGAUAUUGCCAAUAAUUUUAAAUUCUCUGACAAAAAUAAGGGUGCGAAAAGAGAAUAUUUUCAUAAUAUUUAAAACCCACGAGAAGCACCGCGGCCUCUGCCUCUAGUUCCACGGCCACGUCCACGUCCACGACCUCGUACUACCUCUUUCUUCUUUUGUUUUGGCUUUGUGCUAUCAUCAAUUAAAAGGGUAUCAAGUGGUAACGAGUCUGGGAGGAUGUAGUAGCGUAUGUUAUUUCCACGAAUUGACAGAGUUUCUACAGGCACUGGCUCUCUACCUUUGACAGUCAUUUUAACAGCUUUUAAAUGGGUAUUCAUUUGCAUAUCAACAGAAGUAAUCGUUCCGUGAACAAUUGUGCCUACGCGAUUUGGUAAGUUUGGUUCAUUUAUUAUACGAAAGUAAGGCUUUACGUACCAUUUUUUAACUCAAUAGAGACAGUUUCAUUCGUCAGCUUCAUUAAAAAGCUAAACUCGUUAGGAAUAUGUAUAGAUUUUUUAUCAUACUUACCGUACCAACUUCAUGGUGUGUGCUUUGGUGUUCCUGGCAACUGCAAAAAUCAAGUAUUAUGUUCGACUAAAACACAUCAACAAUAGAUAAAAUCAUCAAUUUUAUGUUAAGAUAUAAUGGAUUCUGAAGUUUUACUAGUCCAAAAUAGCUUUGUGAUAUUAAUAGGCUGAUCUUCAUGUGCAUUUAUUUUUCCAGUAUCUGAGAAUAAAGUUGAGAAGCUAAGACUUCUUAAUACAGAUUCGACUGUUGAAAAAGCUUGAUACUAAUUUUAAUAAUUAAGUGAAAGCACUCAUUAGUCUAAAUAAAUGGGUUUCGAACCCAAUACUCGAAUGAGCUUUAAGGCAUCAAAUUUUAGAGAUAAAAUUAUUAUGUAUCGCAUGUCAUUUGUUUUAAUCAUUUAUUUUAUACAAUUUAAGACAUUUUAUUCAAAUACAAAAUUCAAAGCUUUGGCUAUUCAAUAUAAGAAGAUUACCAAGUGAAUUUUCACGAAUUGAAUUAUUUUUUAUUGUCCCGUAAAGCUCGCGCUAAAGCUGAACAGAAACUUUCAUAAACAUUAUAAUCAUAUCCUUCAAUCCAUUUACACUGCAAUUGAUUAUCUAUUACGUUCAGUUCACAUUUCAUUUGUCCUUCCAGACUAGAAACAGAAGUUUGACUUUUGGAUAUCCGUCGAGCUUUACGAGACCAAGUGAUAGAUUUUGUUGAUAUUUCCAAAACGGAUCCUUUUUUAGACCACGGAAUUUUGUUAUCAUCUAAGAAUUUCUGUAGAAUGUCAUCAAUUUGAGCACAUAAUUCUGGGUCUAAAGUCCAAUUCUGAAGAACCUUAUGGGGGAAAUAUUUAGAAAGGGAAGUUGAAGAAGGACGUAUAAGUUCCUUUGGAUCCUUUUGUUAGUAUCAUGAAUUUUAAAUAUCGUUCGAUAGCAGCAUACAUUGUGUGGACGCAUAGCCUGAAAUGACCAGCAAAUUAUCCAGCGCUUAGUCUUUCCAAGUGCGAGUUCGUAAAUUCCAUAAUUUGAUAUCUUACAGAUAUAAGUUAAAAAAAUUUUAAAGGCUAGUUAGGACUUACAUUUUGUUCACGCAAUUUAUCAACCACAGCAGGUACACUUGAUUUUUUGCCAAACAUACAGGUAUACCAUUGAAUUCCUUUCCUUUUUUUACUUUCAGUUAAGAUUUUAUUGGCAAAUCCGACUUCACCACCCUCUGUAACCAUUUCAUGAUAAACUCCAGUACAAACACCCGAUGGUGGAUUUUGCUUAAAAUUUAUGAAAUCUUCCUCAUGUUCAUAAAAUGGGGGAUUACACAUCACAAAGGUAAAUUCUUCCAUCCCUUCGGUAUCAGGGAGUAAGCAGUCUUGUUUAGAACGAAGCACAAUUUUGAUCUGGGAUUCCAUGUUAUUUUGAAGAAUAUUGCUCUUGGCUGUUUCAAAAGAAAAUUUGUCAAUUUCUAGAGUUUUGAGUAAUUAGUAAAAGCCUGUGAAAAAUCAAAGCUUACCGGUGCCAACGAAAUCAUAUGAGUACAUACGACAGCCUAAUAAUGGGUAUAUACAACUAGCGCCGGUACCAAUAUCCAAACCAAUGAUUCUUUUUUUAUCCUUUUGCCCAGAUGUACUUGACAACAGGUCAUGAAUAUAUCUUAUAUAAGUGGCUCUGAAAAGUUGGUUAUAAAUGAUGAAUAAACAAUGUGUUAAUAUACCGGUUUGGAACCUUUAAAUGAAUUAGCAUUUAUGAGAGAAGGGAAAUGUUUGUUUAAAAGAAACAUUGGUGAUGCUACACAUCUCUUACCAUUGGACAUAGACGAUUCUCAGGAAAUUCAACACGAAGAGAAUAAUCCCGAUCCAGAAUUGCUUUUCCUAACGUACUAAUUUAUAGGUAAGCAAUCGUUUAACAUAUGUGAGUUUACCAACCGAAUAGCAUCUUCGUUCCAAAAAUCAAUGCGACCAUUUUUGACGCUACGUUCAAUUAGUAUAUAAAUUGGCAUUGAGAACGCCCUACAAAGAUCUCAAGUCGGGAUAAUCCCUUGCUAAACUAUCGAAAUUUAUAAUAUCAGUU
rnacentral:lncRNA from 1 species